rnacentral:lncRNA from 1 species
UAAAUACUUCAUGCAUACACAACAUUUAGCACUUCAUGCCUGCAUUCAUUAACUACCUCUAGCAUUAACCACUACAAAGGUGGCGCCCCCUUUUUCUUAUGGCCAAAAGAAUAUUGAAAGUUAAAUUGCUAUCCUAAAAAAAAAAAAUUUUAAACGAACAUAAAAUUUCGAAGUAUUACACACCGUAUCAAGUUAAGCAUCCAGACCAAGCCAAAAAGCCUUUCUAUCAAGAAUCAGUCUAUCCAAAUAAGUUGAACCCCUCAACAUUUGUUGCUAAGUCUAAAGUGUCUAAAACUACCACUGAGUAUGAGUCUAGGUUGAAAAAGUGGCAUAUGAGACUUGGACAUCCCACGACCUCUGUGAUGUCACAAGUACUUAAAUCUUGUAAUGAAAAAUCCGAUGCUAAUGAAAUCAUUCAGUUUUGUAAUGCUUGGCAACUUGGUAAAUCACCCUCUUUGCCAUUCAAAUUAUAUGUUUUAGGUGCAUCAGCCCCUCUUGAUUUAAUUCACACAGAUGUUUGGGUCCUGCACCUAUAAAUUCUACUUCUGGUUUCAAAUAUUACAUUCUCUUCCUUGAUGACUAUAGUAGGUAUACAUGGAUCUAUCCCAUGAGAAAUAAAUCUGAAGCAUUAAACCUGUUCAUUCAAUUCAAAAACCUUGUUGAAAAUAAGUUUGAUAGGAAAAUCAAAGUACUCCAGUCUGAUUUGGGAGGUGAAUUUAGAGCAUUUACUGAUUUAGCUCUAAAGUCUAGUAUUGAUAUGCGUUUCUCUUGUCCUCACACCUCAGCCAAAAAUGGUAGAGCUGAGAGAAAACACAGACACAUAACAGAAAUCGGCUUAGCUCUUCUUGCUCAAGCAAGUAUGCCUUUACAUUAUAGGUGGGAAUCCUUUCACACAGCGACUUACCUUAUCAACAAACUACCUACACCUGUUCUGAAAAUGAAAGCACCUUCUCAAAUUCUAAACAAUGAACAGAUUAAAUACAAGUCACUCAAAAUCUUUGGUUGUGCUUGCUUUCCUUGUCUCAGACCAUAUCAAGAACAUAAGUUCAGUUUUCAUUCCACAAAGUGUGUGUUCCUUGGCUUCAACAACUCUCAUAAAGGCUACAAAUGUCUCAGUCCAAUAGGAAGUGUAUAUAUAUCUAGGCAUGUAGUCUUCAAUGAAAAUGAGUUUCCUUUCUAGUCCGGUUUUCUCAAUAAAAGAAACGAUUCCCAGAAUUUUGAAACUAUUAUUCAUUAUUUGCCUUUCCACACUCCUCCAAAUAGUAACCCAACUUGCUCAGCUGAUGAAGCUCAUUUUGAUGCAACUCCAACAACAACACCUUGAGUUUGAUAAACCAAGAAUGGCUGAAAACUUGAUAUUUGAGGAAAAUGAGAAUGAAAACACAGUGACAAAUAUUGAAGGCACCCAAACUGAAAGUCAAGAAGGUCCUGCAAAUACUCAGAUAUAGCAAACUGAAGCAAGUGAUGAACUAAGUUUAAGUGAGGCAGAACAGGAAAUCAGAUUGUAAAUCAUCCUAUGAUUACCAGAAGUAAAGCUGCUAUAUUCAAACCAAAAGUCUACUCAACUCAAUGCGAACAAUACAGCAAUGAACAAAGCGGACUAGAACAUAACAAUGUGGCUGAGGCUCUUACAAAUAAAGAUUGGAGAGAAGCAAUGGAGGAUGAAUACAAGGCAUUGAUGAGAAAUAAAACGUGGAAAUUAGUACCACCUCUAAUCAAUCAAAAGGUGAUAGGAAACAAAUGAGUUUUUAGACUUAAACAAGAUGUUGAUGGAAGGAUAUUGAAGCACAAAGCAAGACUUGUUGCUAAAGGGUUCUUGCAGACAUCAGGAGUUGAUUACCAUGAAACUUUCAGCCCAGUUAUAAAGACUUCCACUUUGAGGAUAAUUCUUGUUCUUGCAACCUCAAAAGGCUGGAGUAUCAGACAAGUUGACAUUAACAAUACAUUCUUGAAUGGGAAACUAGAUGAAGAAGUUUAUAUGCGACAACCAGAAGGUUUUGUUGACAAAGCAAAUCCCACCUUUGUUUGCAAACUAAAAAGGGCACUUUAUGGACUCAAUUAAACACCUACAACAUGGUAUGAAAAACUGAAAAAGACUCUUCUGGAUUGGAAGUUUUCAAAAUCAAAGGCAGAUAGUUCCCUAUUCUUUUACAUGAAUCAGAAACAAGUAAUCUUUGCCUUGGUAUAUGUUGAUGAUAUAGUAAUUACAGGCAGUGAUCAGAAGAUGUUGCAGGACUUUAUUGAUAAGUUGAAUGCACGGUUUGCACUGAAAGAUAUGGGUGAGCUACAUCAUUUUUUGGGAAUUGAGGUAAGAAGAGGUGAAUCAGGUAUGCAUCUCACUGAGAUCAAGUAUACAAAGGACCUGUUGAAAAGGUUCAAUUUUGAGCAUCUUAAACCUUAUGCAACGCCUAUGAUAGUAGGCAAGAAUAUCUCAGAAGUGAAGGUGAAAAGAUGGCAGACCCUUCUCUGUACAUAAAUGCAAUUGGUGGACUACAAUACUUAGCACACACACGACCUGAUAUAACCUUUGCUGUGAACAAGAUGAGUCAAUUUUUGCAAACACCUUCAGAUGUCCAUUGGAAAGCAGUCAAAAGAAUCUUUAGAUAUCUGAAAGGGACUAUUGAGCAUGGAUUAUGGAUUCAAAGGAGUUACAAAAUGAGCAUCACUGAUUUUGCUGAUGCAGAUUGGGCAUCAUGCCCUGAUGAUAGAAGGUCAACAGCCGGCUAUUGUGUGUACUUGGGAGAUACAUUGGUGGCUUGGUCUUCGAAGAAACAACACGUUGUGGCUAGGUCGAGUACUGAAUCAGAGUAUAGAGCCUUAGCACAUGCAGUUGCCGAGAUAACUUGGAUUGAAUCACCGCUUAUAGAAAUCAAGUUACAUUUAUCUUUACCUCCUGUGCUUUGGUGUGAUAAUCUUAGUGCAAGUGCUUUAGCUUCAAAUCUAGUUUACCAUACCAUACCCGAACUAAGCAUAUUGAGUUGGAUAUACAUUUUGUUAGGGACAAGGUUCUUGAAGGAAAAAUGAAAAUUUGAUAUGUUCCAUCAUCAGAUCAAAUUGCAGACUUGCUAACCAAGCCCCUUUCACAAACCAGAUUUCUCUUUCUUAAGGACAAGCUUGGAGUUAAAGAAUAAACUCCAACUUGAGGGAGGAUGUUAAAGUGUAUUAUCACACACCUCAGCAGCUCACAUGUUGAAUGGGAGAAGUGACCAGUGCUAAUGUGCACCUGUGGUGCUAUGUUAGUUAGUUACAACUGUAUCUUAUUCUUAGGUGUAUAGCACAUGUAAUUUGAUUCUUUUUUUCUUUUCUUUUUUUAACUUGCUCACCACUUCAAAAGUGGCUUUAUAUACUGUAUCAUAUUCGGUGUAUAUCAUUAAGUAAAAUACAAUUUUAUCACACAUUCAACUCCCUACUUCUACAUCAAUUUCACCUCUGCAAUAUUAUCAAAUUUAAACUGCCCCCAACAAGCUAAUUUUUGUUGCAAGAGUUCUGUACAGGAGUUAUUGAAAUGUUACUUGACAUUCUGCACAUUGUUCUAGCAUUUGUAAUUUGUGAUGGCUGGAUGGGAUUAGAUAUUGGACAUGAAACUAUAAAUUUGUUUGAGGAAGCUCUAGAAGCUAUGAAAAGUCAUCUGGAAUGGACCUACGGGUGUUUCUGAAUAUGAAAAGUUUUUCACAGGAACAGAGGUAUAGUAGAUAAUAAGAUAAUUCAUAAUUGUAAUAAAUUGUAUUUUAUGUCGUGUUUUACCUGGAUAUUUGAAAUCAAAUGCAUGAAUUGUUUAUUCUUUUCCAGGAUAUAACUAAGGAAUUGGCAGAGCUUAGUGGCAAAGAAGUGACAACAAAUAUUGGAGACGGUGACUCUGUUUCUGCUGUUGAAAAGGUUGGUUGGCUGACUAGAUAAGCCAUAUCUCGACUGGAGGUGGUGCAAGCUUGGAGCUUCUUGAGGAGAAACCUUUACCUGGUGUUCUUUCCCUUAUUCAGGCUUAAGUAAUGUUCUCUUUGUUGUGACUGGUUUCCAACCAGACUAGCUGAAUAAGCCGGACCUAGGGAAUGAUCCUGUACAUGCAGGGAAGAUAAACCGUGAGCAUGGUUCACUUAUGGUAAAAAUGAAAGUGGUUAUUGCAUUUAAGCAAGAACUACUUUAGCGUAUUGAUAUGAUAACACUUGCACAGGAAGAGAAUGAUGCAGAAUUGAAAUUGGUGGGUCCUCAAUUAUUCUCUUUCGAGGCAUGUAUCCUUCUUUUCUUUUUAUAGAGUGUCAUACCGCUUCUACUUUUGACAGGAACCUACUCAUUUAUAUUAUUUCAUUAUUCUUUGCAAACUUCAGACGGCUUCAAUAAUGCCUUGCACAUUUUUUAAAAAUAAUUGGAUCCUAAAUCUUGAUUUUCCUUUAUCUACA